UACGUAGGGGGCAAGCGUUGUCCGGAUUUAUUGGGCGUAAAGAGCGUGUAGGCGGCCAGGUAGGUCUGCUGUGAAAACUCGAGGCUUAACCUCGAGAUGUCGGCGGAAACCAUCUGGCUAGAGUCCGGAAGAGGAGAAUGGAAUUCCCGGUGUAGCGGUGAAAUGCGCAGAUAUCGGGAAGAACACCCGUGGCGAAGGCGGUUCUCUGGGACGGUACUGACGCUGAGGCGCGAAAGCUAGGGGAGCAAACGGG
rnacentral:rRNA from 1 species